UUAGCUGGGUGAUGCAAUCCAUGUCACACAAGCCAAGUAAAUUUGAUUUAAGUAAAUUUAAGUAAAUUUGAAUUCAUUAGGUUGACUUGCCAAGUGUGUCUAUACCGGCCCUGCUGGACCAGAGGAGCAGGAUGGGGCCAGUGACUACAACUUCAUUUAAAGACAAGUAUUGAUUGGUGUGUCUGCCCUGCUGGAUGAGGUUGUGGGUUUGUAUAAGAGGCUUUUGGCUCUACAUUGGUGUUUCCCUAACCCAUUACAGAAAAUCCAGGUCCAUUUCAAGUGGCAAGUGCUGGAAAGGGCUUGGAGCAAUCUGGUCUAGUGGAAGGUGUCCCUGCCCAUGGCAGGAGGGGGAACUAGAUGGACUUUAAGGUCCCUUCCAACCCACACCAUUCUGUGAUUGUGUGCUGCUGUGUGUACCCCGUUUGAAAUGUUUUAAAAGUCUAAAUUCUGAACCCUGAAAGGUUGGCAGCUUGGUGAGCACCUGUGCAGUUUCUGUCAUCUGGAGCCACUCAGCACACACACAGUUGUGGUGAGUGCUUUAUUGAGCAGGAAAAUAUGCAAGAAGAAAUGUUGAAAGCAGUAAAAUUAAUCAUAUGAGGUUAGUUAAAUAUGUGCCUAAAUGUUUGUGGAACCAACUAGAGAACUGGAGAAGGUUCAAAUGUACUAGCAAUAACAGAAGUCUUUGCUGCUUUUUUUUAAUAAUAAUGUCUUUGUUCAUACUUCUUGAAACACAUGUAGCAGGCACAGAAAGUGUCAUCAGAUGAAGCUGAUGAAGCAUCUCCAGGAUCAGAGUUACCAGUGCUGUCAGAGAGCAGUGUUUGAAGCAAGAUUAAGGCUUAUGGAGGCUCGUGGCCUGUUUGUGAUGCUCAGCUGGCUGGUGGAAGCUGCAGGUGCCAGGACAGCCCGUGGGAGAGCAGCACUUCAAGGGAAUUCAGUGAUAUUAGGCAGAGGGAAAAGUUGCUUCUAUAAAGACAUUGUAUGGGAGUGCUGUGGCACCUGGGUCUUUCAAGGAGUUGCAUGGGUGCAGUGCUUAGCAUGGAACAGCCCAGAUCAUAGCCAAGGCCUCCAGGGAUGGCCAAAUCAAGCAUAAAUAGCAACAACUGCAUAAUUAGUGCCAGAGAUCAGAUCAUUCCUUUAAAAUUCAGGACAUAGUCAAUAAUACCUGUGUUGUGGUUCACUGGAUGCUUUUGACAUACUGUUUUUUCCUCCUAGGUUUUUAAGCAUCAUUUUCUGUCGGGUUGCAGGCUGUCAUUUAAUAACCUUUGUCACUGCCUUUGCUGAACCCUCUUGCAUGGAGGCAAUGUAAACUGCAGUUUAACUUACAGCAGUAUCAGAAAUAUGCUGAUGAAACAACAGUAAAACUCUGGCCUUGGGCUAAAGAAAUUAUGGGAUUUCUCUGGCAAUACUGGAAAUGUCUAAGCCCUUGUUCCUCGUUAUUUGCAGAAACCCCUCAGCAGCCAAUCUGACCUGUCUGCCUGUCUGGAAGGGUUUGGGGGGGUCUUUGAGGCAGGCUGGGAGAUGCAAUCCAGCAGCAGGCUCUGGAGAGCUGCACUGGGAAAGUUGAUCUCAUUUGGUCAGGAUUUGGUAAGCAGUGGAGAAGCAGCAGUCAUAGCUGUGGGAAUUGGGGACAGCAGAGUGGAAUUGGGGACAGCAGAAUGGAAAAGUGACAGGAAGGAAAAAAAAACACAAACCCAAACCACUUUGUUCAGGUCAUUCAAUGUAACUGGUUAAGAAUAAUCAUUUUCCUUGGGUAAAGUCAAGUAGCCUUAUUUAUCUGCCUAUUAGGUUGGUAAUUGUUCUAGCUCACACCAUUUAAAAUCUUUAUUGACUCAUUAUCCUAUUGCCAGUUGGUCAUUAAUAUUUGUGUCUGCGUCACAGUACAGCUCAGUGGUUUCAAGCAGAUGGAUUAAAGCUAAAAGGAGCUCUUUUUUAAUUAAUUCCUUUUUUUCUGUAUCAAUUAAAAAGUCAUAAUUGCAGAUAGCUAGGAACUUGAUAACUUAUUCAAAUUGACAUGGUCUUUUGCUAGAAGAGCUGUCUAAAAUCUUUCAGUGCAUAUAUAUGUCCAAUAGGAGCCCUAAAUAACAUUUUGAUAACUCAUAGUACAGAUAGGGACUCUGACAAAAUGACUGCUGACCUCUUCUUUUCAGACUGUCUUGCUACAUCAUCUCCCACACUAUUACAGCAAUUAACUUAGUGUAACAACAUAUAGUACACUCCAAUAAAAAUGAUAAGCAAACAUAUUAAUUUGUCAUUGGUUUCAUGUGACUGAAGCCAUUUUAACCUCUUAAAACUGUGUUGGCUGCAUUAUUUCUUUUGUUUUCAGCCAAAUUCUGCUCUGCAAUUAUUUGAGUUAGUGUUUGAGGGAGUAGCAAUGGAAUUUCUGCCAGCAGAAUUUGGCCUGGUUCAUAUUUAUGGUGGCUGCAGGGGAGGUGCUUCUCUCUUGUUUGUUUGUUUUUAGCUGACAGUAUAGGCAGAUGGAGCAGAAAAAUGACCCCAGAAGCUGAUGGACACUGAAACAUCCUGAGCAAGAUGACAUUCAGUAACACACUUCCCAGUGCUGUAGAGACCCUCCUGAGGAAGGCAUCAAUAGUCACUAUCCAAGAUUCAGUGUGCACUGAGAGGGAGUUGGUGAAUCAGAGGCUGAAAGGAUGAACCACAGAAGUAUUUGUUGUACAGAGCAGACCUUCUGCUGCACUCAAGUGGUAAGGUGACUGUAGAUCCUUCCUGUUACUCAGCCAUCCCAUGGCAGCCAGACCUUACCCGUGUGCCAAAGGGUGUUGGCACCCCUGGUUUAACCCAGGAGCCACCGUGCCAGGGAUGUCUUUAAAUUCUCCAGAGACUCUUGCUGUUGACUUUAGAUGGGGAUAUUAGAGCAGUGGAUGACUAAAAAAUCCAAAAGCAGCUUGAUGAGAUUAUUUGUCCCUUUAAAACUUUUAACCCAUAACAUUUCUUGAUUGUUUAAUUUGUUUGUUGUUGUUUUUAAAAAUCCUUAUAACAAAGUUAAACACAACUCUUUUCAGUGUGUGUGGUUAACUGGCAGAUGCCAUGGAUCAGAAAGCCCAUGGACAAGAUCAGAAAGGUGACUUAAAGGCUUGUCCUGGAGCCAGCCCUAACAGUGCCUCUGUGUUUGUGCUCUUAUUGUCUUAAUCGAUUUACACAGCAUUGACACGAGGUGAGCUAGUCCCUUUUUAUCUUACAAAUAGCAGGGAGCUGGUCUCUUACAAGACAGAAGGUGGUUAAACAUCCAUAAAAGAUGCUCAGCCUGUGCUCUGGCAUUUGCAUUUACAGCUGUGUGCUGAUAGUGUGUCCAUUAGCAUAUCCAUAUGAAAAGCACACAGUAGUUGGACAUUUACAACAUCCUGUUGUUGGGCCGGGACGGUGCAUCUGUCAGCACGACUUUCCACUGAGUCCUUUAGAAGAGCAGCGGAAAUCUGGGGAGCGGGGAGGUUGUGGAGCAGCUGGACAGUCCUGUUAAAAUAAAAUACCUGGAGAGUCUAACAAGGCCAGGAUUGCGAGGAGAACAAGCGGAACUGGGACUGUAAAGCAAUUCAGCGCGUGGGGGUUCGGGUGGGACAGUUGGGAGCUCACAAAGAGCCCUUUGGAAGUGUGUGUGCCACAAGGAGCAGGAAAUCUUUGUUGUCACAGAAGAUAACCCAGGCAUGGCUUAGCACAGGCCGUGCAGAGUUUCAAGGCUUGCUGUGCCUUCAGGACCUGUGAUAGCAAAGGAGUUGUUUCUCUUAGAAAGAGAUUUUCAAAUAAACUACACCAACUCUUGUGUAAAUAUCUUUUUGUUUGUCUUUGUACUUGACUCUCUCUGCGUUUUCUGCCCGUGGAUCCUGAAGAAGGGUAGGUGUCACUGCCCUUUCUGAAACAGUAGAGACACAAAAAGAUGAAGCACUUCUGUGUUUUCAUAUGGCUGUUCCAUGGCAGAGCCAGAAAGGGAUCCAGGAAUUGAUCCUCAGUGGAUGCAGAGUUGUCACAGCUCCACUCUGGUCUCUAACAUCAGCUAUGCCCUCAGUUUUUGAGAGCAGUGGAUGUUCCUAACCCAUACUUGUUUUCCUAAUCAGCAGUGUUCUUUUUUUUUUU